rnacentral:rRNA from 1 species
AUUGAACGCUGGCGGCAGGCUUAACACAUGCAAGUCGAACGAGCGGCGGACGGGUGAGUAAUGUCUGGGAAACUGCCUGAUGGAGGGGGAUAACGACUGGAAACGGUAGUUAAUACCGCAAACCAUCAGAUGAGCCCAGAGGGGAUUAGCUAGUGGGGGGGGUAAUGGUGCACCUAGGCGACGAUCUCUAGCUGGUCUGAGAGGAUGACCAGCAACACUGGGGCGUGGACACGGUCCAACAUCCUACGGGAGGCAGCAGUGGGGAAUAUUGCGCAAUGGGCGCAAGCCUGAAGCAGGCAUGCCGCGUGAGUGAGGAGGGCCUUCGGGUUGUAGAGCACUUUCAGUGAGGAGGCGUUACUCACAGAAGAAGCACCGGCUAACUCCGUGCCAGCAGCCGCGGUAAUUC